GAAAUGCGAUAAGUAAUGUGAAUUGCAGAAUUCAGUGAAUCAUCGAAUCUUUGAACGCACAUUGCGCCCCUUGGUAUUCCGAGGGGCAUGCCUGUUCGAGCGUCAUUACACCACUCAAGCUAUGCUUGGUAUUGGGUGCCGUCCUUAGUUGGGCGCGCCUUAAAGACCUCGGCGAGGCCUCACCGGCUUUAGGCGUAGUAGAAUUUAUUCGAACGUCUGUCAAAGGAGAGGACUUCUGCCGACUGAAACCUUUUAUUUUUCUAGGUUGACCUCGGAUCAGGUAGGGAUACCCGCUGAACUUAAGC
rnacentral:misc_RNA from 1 species